rnacentral:rRNA from 1 species
AGUGAACGCUGGCGGCAGGCCUAACACAUGCAAGUCGAACGGCAGCACAGGAGAGCUUGCUCUCUGGGUGGCGAGUGGCGGACGGGUGAGGAUAGCGUCGGAAUCUGCCUAUUUGUGGGGGAUAACCUCGGGAAACCGGGACUAAUACCGCAUACGACCUACGGGUGAAAGCGGAGGACCUUCGGGCUUCGCGCAGAUAGAUGAGCCGACGUCGGAUUAGCUAGUUGGCGGGGUAAUGGCCCACCAAGGCGACGAUCCGUAGCUGGUCUGAGAGGAUGAUCAGCCACACUGGAACUGAGACACGGUCCAGACUCCUACGGGAGGCAGCAGUGGGGAAUAUUGGACAAUGGGCGCAAGCCUGAUCCAGCCAUGCCGCGUGGGUGAAGAAGGCCUUCGGGUUGUAAAGCCCUUUUGUUGGGAAAGAAAAGCAGCCGGUUAAUACCCGGUUGUCAUGACGGUACCCAAAGAAUAAGCACCGGCUAACUUCGUGCCAGCCGCCGCAGUAA